AAGCCCAGGGAGUUUGCUAUCCUCUCAGAGUUCCUGAGACGUGGUAUUUGUCAUGGUGGCAAUAGCGCUCAUUUUCUUAUUAUCAAAGCAAUAAAAAAAUCAUCUCUUUUAUAGGAUGGAUCUACUUGCUCCUGCACACGUAUCGGCGAUUAAGUACUGUAUAAUGUUUAAAAAUUAAUGUUACAAAUAAAAAAAGUGAGGACCAGACCUAAUUUUGCUAUUUUCUGCUAAAUAAGCCAACUUCUCAUCAAUAAGUUUUAGAAGAGAAACUCAGACAUUUUUUAAACUGUAAGAGAGCCCCCUGGACUAAAAUUACCAUUCUUUAGAGGUGUAAUGUACCACACAAAGUCUUUGUGUAAUGUCUGGUAAAAUCUGAGCAGAGUUUGAAAGGGAUUGACUACUGUCUACAUCUGUUUAACAUCGGGACGUGUAGGAGCUGAAUGUCUCCGAAAGAUGGCGAUAGUGCGAGUUCUUGAUUGUCGGCUGGCGAUGACAGCAAAAGAAGAAGAAUUGAGCAUGCGCAAUGUAGCAGAACCAGAGGAGGCGGCAGACGUUUCCAAGUAUUUAACUUCGGGUGUUUUUUUUAAUAUAAUUUCGGUGGCUAACUUCAGAAGUACGUUUAUCGUUCUCUGGUAAGCGCUUUUUUAUUUCAGCUCCUGCAACUCAUAAGUUUCCAUAAAUUAUUUCCCUUUUUUUCUGAGUGUUUCCUCACAUUUCCAGCGAGUCUACCUAUCGUACCUUUAGCGAUAGAAAGUGUCUGUCUUUCCUCCGUGGAAAUGAAACACACUUUACGUGUGCUGUAAGUGGACGACAGGUUCGGGGCAUUUGUUAUUCUUUGACUUCAUUGCCCACAUGAAUCAAACCCUUUGUGGUCGGCCAUGGUCCUUUGCUGUAUACGGUGAUACCGUUUGCUAAGGUUAAGUGGGGUCAGCGUGUUUGAUGGUGGACCCCCACAUCCUCCUCUGCUCCAUUAGAGACACUCUGUAUCAGGUAAAGGUGGCCCACAUAAUCAACACGAAGUUUCCAGAGUGGUUUUUGCUUGCUUGGUUAUCGGAAACAAAGCUUAAACCCAUGAACCAUAUCAGUUGGUCUUCCUCUCAGUCUGAGUUUCUUUCAGGACAUUUUGAAGUUAAUUUCUUCUUCUCUGAGACCCUAAAAGAGACAGCUAACCCACUCCUGAAGGAUAUUUUUACCCACUGCUGUAUAGGAUUUGAAAUCUUAAAGAAAUCUGUACAAUCACAGAUCGGCCACGACUUUAUGAACUCUUGGGUUUUCCAAUGCAAACCAAAACUACAGCCCUAAAUUCAUGAGUAAUUUUAUAUAUUUGUACUGUGUAAUUCAUUUCCACUCACGUCAAUCGUUGACUUUUACUGUAAUUGUUGAAAUAGUUUUACAAAAUUUCGAUAAAUGUUUUAUAGAAUUUAUUAUUUAUAGAAUAAUGAAGUUUGGCUUCAAUAUGUCAUGUUCUCAUCUGAACAGAUUUGCCCAAUU